AAUAGAUACCCGGGUAGUCCACCCGUAAACGUUGGGAACUAGUUGUGGGGUCCUUUCCACGGAUUCCGUGACGCAGCUAACGCAUUAAGUUCCCCGCCUGGGGAGUACGGCCGCAAGGCUAAAACUCAAAGGAAUUGACGGGGACCCGCACAAGCGGCGGAGCAUGCGGAUUAAUUCGAUGCAACGCGAAGAACCUUACCAAGGCUUGACAUAUUCGAGAACACCCUAGAAAUAGGGGACUCUUUGGACACUCGUUUACAGGUGGUGCAUGGUUGUCGUCAGCUCGUGUCGUGAGAUGUUGGGUUAAGUCCCGCAACGAGCGCAACCCUCGUUCUAUGUUGCCAGCACGUUAUGGUGGGAACUCAUGGGAUACUGCCGGGGUCAACUCGGAGGAAGGUGGGGAUGACGUCAAAUCAUCAUGCCCCUUAUGUCUUGGGCUUCACGCAUGCUACAAUGGCCGGUACAAUGGGCUGCGAUACCGUGAGGUGGAGCGAAUCCCAAAAGCCGGUCCCAGUUCGGAUUGUAGUCUGCAACUCGACUACAUG
rnacentral:rRNA from 1 species